GACGAACGCUGGCGGCGUGCUUAACACAUGCAAGUCGAACGAUGAAGCUAGAGCUUGCUCUGGUGGAUUAGUGGCGAACGGGUGAGUAACACGUGAGUAACCUGCCCCGAACUCUGGGAUAACUGCUGGAAACGGUAGCUAAUACCGGAUAUGACCUAUGAAGGCAUCUUCUGUUGGUGGAAAGAAUUUCGGUUCGGGAUGGACUCGCGGCCUAUCAGCUUGUUGGGGAGGUAACGGCUCACCAAGGCAACGAUGCGUAGCCGGCCUGAGAGGGUGAUCGGCCACACUGGGACUGAGACACGGCCCAGACUCCUACGGGAGGCAGCAGUAGGGAAUCUCCCGCAAUGGACGAAAGUCUGACGGAGCAACGCCGCGUGAGUGAUGAAGGCUUUCGGGUCGUAAAACUCUGUUGUUAGGGAAGAACAAGUGCUAGUUGAAUAAGCUGGCACCUUGACGGUACCUAACCAGAAAGCCACGGCUAACUACGUGCCAGCCGCCGCAGUAA
rnacentral:rRNA from 1 species